GCAAGUGAAGGAAAGAGGAGAGGGAGAAACUGCACACCAGCAGAAUGUCACAGUAGGCAGUAUCACGAAAGCAGUGUUGGAACUUUCUACUCAGGUUUGGAUUGUUUCCUAAACUUAUCAUCACCACCAGUGAAUUCUGAGUGACAGUAGUGUGGAAUUUGAAAGAAUGAAAGAGAAACUGAAGUAGUGAGAUGGUGAAAGAGAAGAAAAAAAUGAAGAAAGAUGCUUGCAAAAAUACUACCGUGGGUCCUGAGAUGAGGAUCUUGGGAAGGAACGUGCACCUUUGCUUGAAGUAUCAUCUCUCCUGCCAUGUGUACCUGGACGGAGGGGAAGGGAAAGUGGACUCCAAAGACACGGGGAAAGUGAAUAUCAAUGACUUUUGUACACGUCAACAGACCACCUGCUACUUCCACAGGACUUUGAAGACCUGAGGUGAGGCUGGUAUAUAUAGUUCAUGUGUGCUUACGAAGACAUGCACAAGCAUAGCCUGGAGCAGCGUGGCCCCAGGAAGA
rnacentral:lncRNA from 1 species